CAACCCUCAAGCACAGCUUGGUGUUGGGACUCGCGUUAAUUCGCGUUCCUCAAAUUGAUUGGCGGUCACGUCGAGCUUCCAUAGCGUAGUAGUAAAACCCUCGUUACUGGUAAUCGUCGCGGCCACGCCGUUAAACCCCAACUUCUGAAUG
rnacentral:misc_RNA from 1 species